GUGUUGCAUAUAUGCUGCAUACUCGAAUCUUCUGAACGGUUCAUUUUUUUAAAAAUUCAAUGCAAAUUAAGAUUUCUGUCCUUGAUAGUUGAAGAGAGCUGAUAAAAUCAUGCAUUUUUGAUACUCAGUGACAGGAACUCUCAAUAAUAAGAGCUAUCAGCAAGAAGUUGACAGUGCAUUAUGUUUAACGUGUAUAGUUAACCGGAUAUUUCUGUUGUUCAAUCCAUCAAAAUUAUUAUGUGAUAUUUAAUGUGAAGGAAAAUUCGACAUUUUCAACGCACGUUUUUGAGUUAAAUUCAUGAAAUAUGAAUAUCGUCGACUUUUUCCCCUUCGUGCUCCGUGAUCCGUGAUUUCUCGUGUCGAACUUGGAAAAAUUCGUGUUUUUCGAAACAGUGAAAUACGUUCGGCGGCCACGUUCCGAAUUGUGCUCAAACGGUACGAGCCUGACCCGACGAGUAGUGCGUUACGAGCGAGCGCUGUACAUUGGGACCGCGGUCUGCUGCGAGUGUACAAAACAAAGGACAAACCAUCCAAUCGGUGGCCUUAAAAAUGAGCGGGAGAACUGAAAAAUCUUGCACUCAGAGUCGGCUGAGCUUGACGAAUUAUCGAGGACUGCCAGUCGGCGGGUUCGCCCUAUUCUCGUAUCGACCGCAGGAAAAACGGGGAAAAAACGUGGCGACACGGCCUCUCACUGCCGCCGGAAAAUUUGAGACGAGGAUCUCGAUUCUUGUUGCUGUUGCUGUUCCCUUCCUUUUCAACGAACGAAUGGAAUUACCGUUCUGCGGUGCGACUGUCGAGUUCGGAAACAGCUCGGCCUCGGCUUCACCCUCCUGGAGAACUCUGAGGGAUUGGAAGAGGUUGACAUUCUCUGAUAAACUUGUUGCCGGCGUCGUUGGCCCCCCGAUCGCACCGGUCACCGAACGCUUCGCCACGCUUUUCGAGUUCCUCCAAUGGCAGGGUUGACUCUGAGCGAACGAGGAAAACGCGGAUCAGUCGAACGCAUCGCAAUGAAGAAUUUUACGAUUUUUGCCUCGGCUUUCACGAGAAGAAAUAUCUUCUGGAGACCGAGGUUACGAGAAUAAGCGAAUUUUGAGCUGGAGACUCACCGGACAUCGGCCGUGACACAUUCGGACGUCACACUCGAUAUAAAGUGCCGGAGAACCCGUGAAACGGAAGGUUUUCAUGUACGCGAAAACCUGAGUCUCGAAAAGUCCGCUCUCCGACCACGAGCCACGGAAUCGACUGAUCAAUUUGUCGUCAACCGGACAUCCGUAUUGAUCUAUCAAUUGAAUUCUCUUGUUACCACCGUUGUGGGCGUAGCAAUCGUUCACCACGAUGUCGAAGCCGUCUGUUGAGAGAGAGAGAGAAAAAAAUCCCGAUCAACCCAUCGCCAGAAAGGCCAAAUUUCGGUUAUACCGAGUUUUUGCACGACUUUGGAUCGAAAAACAAUAUGUUUGCAGUGAGGAACAGAUGACUUGAAAAACUUACGGUGGGAUUUUUCCUGCUGUCCUGGUGAUGAGUAUUCUCUCCGAGGGUACCGCAUCUAUUCAGCUCUUUACACGCACCGCUCUAUGUCAGCCAGAAAUCAAUUAUGGAAGGAGGAAAAAUUCUCUUGGGAUUUAUUUCAUCGUUAUGAUCGGUGUUAAAUGAAAAGUUUUUUCCACUCGAACGUCAAUCUCCCCGUACAAUGGCAGCUUUUUGGCUCUCAAGAUCUUCAGAAAUAAUGAAUGGCCGGAAACUUCUAAAAAUAAAUUGAAAAAUCAAUUUCUGGCACGUCGCAAGCAGUUUUUCAGCCAAGAAGCAAAAGCACACGAUUAAUCGUCGUUCGUGUCAAUAAUCUGCAUCGAUUGGUAUAAAUAGUGGAAAAAAGUUCGAAUAGAAAUUGAAAAAUCGAUUUUUCGAACCUCUCCGUGAAAGGAUUGAUUUUCCAAAAUAUCACAGCCAAUCUAGCAUCCGGUACAGAACUCACGUCCCCAAAAGAAUCGAAAUGACGUGAUCGAUUUUUCUUCUGGAUCGAAAAGUUUUUAUAACAAGUUUCCGUACGUCGCAAUUCACUUGUACAUAACGACGUGUCCAAAUGAGCGUUAGGCAUAGAUCGAGACGAGGAUAUUCACGCUUGGCGAACAGCCCCGCUCGGUAUGAUACAACAGCGAUUCUUGUAACGAUUCAUUUUCAUAUAUUUACUAUUGUUAAAAAGAUUUUAUUAAAUCUUUCGUUGUAUAAAUACACAUUGAAGAUGUCGAAAAUU